rnacentral:rRNA from 1 species
GGUUAAGCGACUAAGCGUACACGGUGGAUGCCCUGGCAGUCAGAGGCGAUGAAGGACGUGCUAAUCUGCGAUAAGCGUCGGUAAGGUGAUAUGAACCGUUAUAACCGGCGAUUUCCGAAUGGGGAAACCCAGUGUGUUUCGACACACUAUCAUUAACUGAAUCCAUAGGUUAAUGAGGCGAACCGGGGGAACUGAAACAUCUAAGUACCCCGAGGAAAAGAAAUCAACCGAGAUUCCCCCAGUAGCGGCGAGCGAACGGGGAGCAGCCCAGAGCCUGAAUCAGUGUGUGUGUUAGUGGAAGCGUCUGGAAAGGCGCGCGAUACAGGGUGACAGCCCCGUACACAAAAAUGCACAUGCUGUGAGCUCGAUGAGUAGGGCGGGACACGUGGUAUCCUGUCUGAAUAUGGGGGGACCAUCCUCCAAGGCUAAAUACUCCUGACUGACCGAUAGUGAACCAGUACCGUGAGGGAAAGGCGAAAAGAACCCCGGCGAGGGGAGUGAAAAAGAACCUGAAACCGUGUACGUACAAGCAGUGGGAGCACGCUUAGGCGUGUGACUGCGUACCUUUUGUAUAAUGGGUCAGCGACUUAUAUUCUGUAGCAAGGUUAACCGAAUAGGGGAGCCGAAGGGAAACCGAGUCUUAACUGGGCGUUAAGUUGCAGGGUAUAGACCCGAAACCCGGUGAUCUAGCCAUGGGCAGGUUGAAGGUUGGGUAACACUAACUGGAGGACCGAACCGACUAAUGUUGAAAAAUUAGCGGAUGACUUGUGGCUGGGGGUGAAAGGCCAAUCAAACCGGGAGAUAGCUGGUUCUCCCCGAAAGCUAUUUAGGUAGCGCCUCGUGAAUUCAUCUCCGGGGGUAGAGCACUGUUUCGGCAAGGGGGUCAUCCCGACUUACCAACCCGAUGCAAACUGCGAAUACCGGAGAAUGUUAUCACGGGAGACACACGGCGGGUGCUAACGUCCGUCGUGAAGAGGGAAACAACCCAGACCGCCAGCUAAGGUCCCAAAGUCAUGGUUAAGUGGGAAACGAUGUGGGAAGGCCCAGACAGCCAGGAUGUUGGCUUAGAAGCAGCCAUCAUUUAAAGAAAGCGUAAUAGCUCACUGGUCGAGUCGGCCUGCGCGGAAGAUGUAACGGGGCUAAACCAUGCACCGAAGCUGCGGCAGCGACACUAUGUGUUGUUGGGUAGGGGAGCGUUCUGUAAGCCUGUGAAGGUGUGCUGUGAGGCAUGCUGGAGGUAUCAGAAGUGCGAAUGCUGACAUAAGUAACGAUAAAGCGGGUGAAAAGCCCGCUCGCCGGAAGACCAAGGGUUCCUGUCCAACGUUAAUCGGGGCAGGGUGAGUCGACCCCUAAGGCGAGGCCGAAAGGCGUAGUCGAUGGGAAACAGGUUAAUAUUCCUGUACUUGGUGUUACUGCGAAGGGGGGACGGAGAAGGCUAUGUUGGCCGGGCGACGGUUGUCCCGGUUUAAGCGUGUAGGCUGGUUUUCCAGGCAAAUCCGGAAAAUCAAGGCUGAGGCGUGAUGACGAGGCACUACGGUGCUGAAGCAACAAAUGCCCUGCUUCCAGGAAAAGCCUCUAAGCAUCAGGUAACAUCAAAUCGUACCCCAAACCGACACAGGUGGUCAGGUAGAGAAUACCAAGGCGCUUGAGAGAACUCGGGUGAAGGAACUAGGCAAAAUGGUGCCGUAACUUCGGGAGAAGGCACGCUGAUAUGUAGGUGAAGUCCCUUGCGGAUGGAGCUGAAAUCAGUCGAAGAUACCAGCUGGCUGCAACUGUUUAUUAAAAACACAGCACUGUGCAAACACGAAAGUGGACGUAUACGGUGUGACGCCUGCCCGGUGCCGGAAGGUUAAUUGAUGGGGUCAGCGCAAGCGAAGCUCUUGAUCGAAGCCCCGGUAAACGGCGGCCGUAACUAUAACGGUCCUAAGGUAGCGAAAUUCCUUGUCGGGUAAGUUCCGACCUGCACGAAUGGCGUAAUGAUGGCCAGGCUGUCUCCACCCGAGACUCAGUGAAAUUGAACUCGCUGUGAAGAUGCAGUGUACCCGCGGCAAGACGGAAAGACCCCGUGAACCUUUACUAUAGCUUGACACUGAACAUUGAGCCUUGAUGUGUAGGAUAGGUGGGAGGCUU